rnacentral:lncRNA from 1 species
AGUCUCAACGUGAAUGCAUCUGCAGAGAGCUCUGGGUUGCUCCAAACCAUCUUCCUUCAAGGCCACUGGUUGAAUGUGAAGUGUGGGCAGGAUGAUGCCAAUUGGACCCAUCCAGGAUCCCUACCUCAUUUCAGGCCAGAAGAAAUUAACAUACAGCAUAAAAGAAUAAGAUCAGACUUCAGGAAGAACCACCAGACGGGGCUGGAAAACACAGACAAGAUCACGGAGUUCCUUUGGGAAAGGU